rnacentral:rRNA from 1 species
GAAGAACGCUAGCGGCAGGCCUAAUACAUGCAAGUCGAACGCUCAGUAGCAAUACUGGGAGUGGCGCACGGGUGCGUAACGCGUACACAAUCUACCUCUAAGCGGGGGACACCUCCUGGAAACGGGGAUUAAUACCGCAUAAUAUGCCGAAGUCGCAUGACUUUGGUAUUAAAGCAGCAAUGCACUUAGAGAUGAGUGUGCGUCCCAUUAGGUAGUUGGUGAGGUAACGGCUCACCAAGCCUAUGAUGGGUAGCCGGUCUGAGAGGAUGGUCGGCCACACGGGCACUGAGACACGGGCCCGACUCCUACGGGAGGCAGCAGUAAGGAAUAUUGGUCAAUGGUGGAAACACUGAACCAGCCAUGCCGCGUGGAGGAAUAAGGUCCUACGGAUUGUAAACUCCUUUUGACGAGGAAGAAAAUGUUAGAUUUAUCUAAUUUUGACGGUACUCGUAGAAUAAGCACCGGCUAACUCCGUGCCAGCAGCCGCGGUAAU